rnacentral:tRNA from 1 species
CCAAUUGGAACAACUAAAAUAAGCUUCUAACUUAACUAUUAGCGAUUAAAUUCGUUAUUGCU